UACCCUAACUUUUCACGCCGGAACCCCAAGUCAAAUCAAAAGGUGGGUCACUCCCGCCUUUCUCGCUCUUCCUUUUCCCUUUUUAUGCCCUUCCAUUCAAACAAAAUGAGCACUUAACAGUUACGACAAUAGCCUUCACCAUCGCUCAGAUUGAGAUGGAUGCCACAAUCGAUCAAUCCAGGAAGUCAGUUGGAGGGUCAUUACUUUGAUAUCCACUUCGAUCUGCAACCAAAGGGAAGGAUGCGAAUAUAUCAAAUUAGGAGACGCAUAAAAGUUCGGCUACCAGAAGGUUUUGCUAUCUUUUAUGACUUAUUUACUUUGUUUCAUUGAUUUAGGUUGAUGGAAACUAUUAUUUGUGGGAGCAGAAAAGAGGUCUCUCGGUUGUUUU